UUACCAUAUAAACCAGGCCACAUGGCUUUCAUGACAGGUACAAAUGCGUUGCAGAUACAACUCUGUCAAAAGAAAGGCAAUCAAUAAAUUUGAUCUGAGCUUAUUCAGUCGGAUAACAGUAUGCAAAUCAGCAGGUAUACUUGCAAAAUUCCCACUGAGGAGAAGAAUCUUUGCAAAACCUUCACCAAGAAUGGUUGGGACAUUAUCAUGAUUGUCACCCUCUAGAUCGAAUUCCCAGUGAUCUUUAUGAAAUCCAGAAAAUAAAAUAUCAAGAACUCC
rnacentral:lncRNA from 7 species